rnacentral:tRNA from 1 species
AGUAAGAUAAGCUAAAUUAAGCUUUUGGGCCCAUACCCCAAACAUGUUGGUUAAAUCCCUUCUCAUACUA